UACAGGUAAAGAGUUGGACUUCUGCUGCUGCAGCUACACACACCUACAACCCAGACAUCACUGGCCAGAUGGCCACAGGUCAUGGGCAAACAGAAAGCAGGCCUAGCAUGACAGGCAUGAAAAAAAGCUCUCUCAUGACCUGCAUGCAGUUAACAACAUAACUGACUAUCAUUUCACUGACUUAUUUAUGAAAAUUUCCUCCACCUGAAAACCUGUCCCCCACAGUUACUAAAUGGCCAAACCUGUUGAUAUGUAAAACAAACCAGUCUUCAGCUGGAGGAAAUUCUCAUAAGUUCUCAUCACAUGAACAAAUCAAUAGCAAUGCUAACCAGUCAACAGCAAUAGGAUAAUAUCAUGAAAAUGAGGUACAUUACUAAACAAAUGGACUGAAAAACGAAAUGCAGGGAAGGUAAACAAAAAAAAAAGGGGGGGGGAGAAGGGGGAAUUAUUUUGUUUUUAUAAUUAAAACAUUCUGCCUCCUUCCCUGAUCACUUUAUCUCCCCUAACUGGCAAUUGCCUACCAACAUUCAUCCCUGGAAGUGCUGGCAGAGGCAGGGUGUGGACCAGAUUCAGAGGCACACAUUUUAUCACCACAUCUCCCAGUUCCACUCAGAUGACACAGUACUGAAAGCUGUCCACCACAGUUUUACCAUUGCUGUCAUCUAUAAGGCGUGAAGAUGUGGAUCUAACACAAAGUCCUGGGAUGAGAUCCUUGUGCCAAAGGCAAAAUUCUCAUUGACUUCACUAAGUUUGCAACCCUGAGUUACAAAGGUAAGCAAAAAUUCAUGAAAAGACCUUUUCCCUGUUAACCAAACAUAUAAAACCCUUCUCUUUCUGGUAUGUCAAGGAAAAUACAGGUCCUCUGCAUAUAGAAGACAAAUCAUGGGACUGAAAUAAUCAGUGUGUCCUCAGGUCCUAUGGCUCUCUCCAGAUUCCCAGAGGCAGCAGUAGCUCCUAAGUUCUGAUCCCAGGACCAUGCCCCAGCCACUUUAUACCGGAGCAAACUCCCUCACCUGCAAUGUGGGAGCCCAGGCAUGCACCGUACCUACCCCUCAGCCUAGCAGUGGACACAGAAGAAACCAAUGGAUACACAUCACUAGGAAGAAGUUGUGCUCUAAAUCCCCAUCAUGUCACAUGCUGUGACAUUUUCCCCUCUGAUUUCUCUGAAAUCAAUGUACAGUCAUUUCUUUCUCAGCUCACAACAGUGAAAGAUCUUCUGUAUAUGAGAAGGCUAUGGGUGUAUCCUUUAAAGAU